UACAGAGGGUGCAAGCGUUGUUCGGAAUUAUUGGGCGUAAAGCGCGUGUAGGCGGGUUGUCAAGUCCGCUGUGAAAGCCCGAGGCUCAACCUCGGAGGGUCGGUGGAUACUGACAGUCUUGAAGGUGCUAGGGGGAGAUGGAAUUACCGGUGUAGCGGUGAAAUGCGUAGAGAUCGGAAAGAACACCAACGGCGAAAGCACUCUGCUGGGCCGACACUGACACUGAGAGACGAAAGCUAGGGGAGCGAAUGGG
rnacentral:rRNA from 1 species